UACAAUGGUUGUUGGGAAAAAAACAAGAGUUUUAUUGUUGACUUGCCAUCCACAAACCACUUGCUGCAUUCUUGUUGGUUGUGCAGGAGGCUCCACUUCUGCUUUUCAAAAGAUGUACGGUGUAUAAUUGUGAAUCUGUUAACAGCCAUUUUCAUGUGAGAGGGAAAAUGUCACCUGUUUCAGAUAUUUAAAAUAAAGAACUAAUCAGUAAUAAUCAAUAUGGACUGAUAUGAGACAUUAUAUCGUGAUUCGUUUUUCAGUUCUAACUGGCCAUGUUUCAAAAAAGCUAGAGCACUAUAGAUGGUG